rfam:TPA: Bos taurus chromosome 21, whole genome shotgun sequence.
UCCCUGGUGGUCCAGUGGUUAGAACUCCAUGCUGCCAACGCAGGGGGCCCAGGUUCAAUCCCUGGUCAGGGAA